AUGUGGUGGUGGUAAGGGCGGGGGGGACUUUGGGAGAUAAUUAGGGCAUGAGGGUGGAGCUCUCAUGCAUAGUAUUGUGCCUUCUUUAGAAGUGACCGGAGAGCUCUCUUGCUUUCUUUUCUCCCAGUGAGGACAUAGCAAAAAGACAGUCGUCUGCAAGCCAGGAAGAGAGCCCUCACCAGACCUGACCAUGCUGGGCCCUCGUCUGGGACAUCCACCUCUGCAACUCUUGCUGGCUUCAACUGUGAGCGGGAUUCCAGGAGGAAGCAAACUCGCAGGAAUCUAGCCUUGCAGACCCAGACCGUCAAGAUCUACCUUUAUCCAGAGAGAUUUUUGAGCUUGCCACUGGGUCCCCACGGGGAGGUGGUCAGACAGUUGCAAAAGCGGCAGCAAGUGAAAAAGAGGAAGGCCCCAGCCAAGGAGCGGAACAGAGGCCGGGAGAGGCGACCCUGCCGAAGACGCGCAUGUCAGAGGGGCGUCCACAGUUGAUCAUAAUCUUUUCAAGUCCAGGAAAUUAAUCCGCAAUGGGAAAAGGAAUCUAAGAUGAAUAAAAUGAUGUCCGACAAUGUGGACAGAGCAGCACGCUAAGAAAUCUGGGUGGACAUACUUCACGGGAAGGUGUUAUGGUAGGCAGGGGCAGCUGUGGGACCAGCAACCAGGCCCCAGCCUCAGGAUGGAGGUUCUAGAAAAGGGGACCUGGCAACAGCCCUAGAACAAGAUUACUGGGCAGGAAACCAGGAUGAGAUCUGAGGUCCAGGACUCGAGUAGAGAAGUCGGGAGGGAGGAGGAUACCUCACGUAGCAAGGGAUGGUCUGUCAGUAAGUCCUUGAACUGAUUUAUUUCUUACUGGCCUCUAUUGACUGGAGACAAGGAACAGCUUUCCUGAUAGUUUCAGCCACGCGUGGAGAAAAGAAAAGGUCCGUCGUAACCCACACAAGGUAAGCCAGCGUGAAUAACCCACCAGAAGGCAAGGUGAAGUCAAGCUGAAACCAUCCCUCAGGUGCUGGACGCUGAGGAGCCCUGGAGUCCUCCUAGCCGAAGGUUAUCAAAGAAAUGCAACUUAGUAAGCCUCUUCCUUGUUGAAUUUGAAUUCAGCUAAUCUUUUUGUGAGAAGACUGUGGGGACUAACCUGCCUCUCUGCUGGCAGCAAUAAAAUGAAGUGGAAAUGCCAACAGCGUGUGUGGAUAGACAGAGACAGACAUCUGGAGCUGCUGGGGACGGAAGCUAUUUCUGUUGAGAAUAAAGGAUUCGAAGCUUCCCUCUUCCCCUGUCCCCUCCAGCUCUGAGCAUUUCUUUCCUGAAAAGUUUUCUCUUCUUUCUUGUUCAUAGAAUAUAAAGCAUGUUUAGAAAAAAGAUAUAAUAAUAAGGGUUGAUGACAGGGGAAGUUCACUCCUGAAUAUCUUCCUCCACGAUUCAUUGGUUUGGGAUUGCAACCUGCUUUUUCCAUUGCUGUCAUUCUUCAUAGUCAGAUGUUUGCCAAAUUGUCCAGAGCAGCUAGACCCCAAAUCUAAAACUGCUAUAGUAGAAGACUCUCCCCCAUUGGUCCCUGGAAGCACAUCCAUGGAAUGCCAUUGGAAAACUGCCACUGGAGGGCAUUAGACAUCAUUUAAUUUGCUCCAUCAUGACGUUUGACCUCUGAAUUCAUUUCACAUGGGUGACCAGGCUAGUCCCAUGGUCAACCUCAGAUGUUUACUGAUCUAUUUCUAGGUGCGCAAAACAGUGCAAGGUUUGCAGAUACAAGGCAAUCCUUUAAGGGACUCACAAUCUAGUUGGGACACAUGUAUAAAAAGAUAACAACUACGAUAGGUUCCAAUUAAAGUAGCACAUUGUGUGUAAAAGCCACAGCAACACAGCUCUCUGGGGCAGCAAGCAUUUUGCAGAAGCAGAGAGAACUCUCCCAAGAAGGUGAAUGUCACAGUCUUCUUACACACUCUGCUGCUCUAAGUCUCACUUCUUCUUGGCUAACCAUAGGAAUGAACCACGUUUUUCAUGAUUCAAAAUAUUAAACAGUUAGGAUAUGCCCAAUUUAUACUACUUAGGGAUUGAGCCACCUGGUUUUCCCCAAAGCUGUUUCUACAGACCAGGAGCUAUAAUCUCUUUUUUCCCCUAGCUUAUAAAUAAAAUAACAUGAAUAACAUGUAAACAAAAAUAGAAUAUGAUCAUUCAUUCAUUCGUCCAUUCAAGAAGCACUUAGAGGACUUGGC